UGAAUGUCAAUGAAAACUUGCAUGCAUUUAUUUAUGAUUUUUUGAUGGUAUAUCGGUGGUGGCCACCCACGUAGGAUCACAGGCUUCGCUGAAACGGAAGUCUUUUCCCCUCUCGCUGGAGCUCUGCUGCAGUAAAUCCUGUAGUAUUCGUAAGGAAGAAUAUAUUUUCCUAAAUAGUAUAACCCAGAGCAGGUCUAACUUUCCCCCACAGACAUUAGUCGAGACUGAAUGCUGGGAGUGAACUGCUUUCAUUAGUGGACACACAGCCUUUUAUGCAAAGUCCCCUACAUGGGAUUUCCAAUACAAACAUACAGAGGUUUUUCUCCCAAGAUCCUCUGUGCCUGAGAGAUAAUUGCCUGGGAAAUAAAUUAUAAUUAAAUUAUCUCUUAGGUACAGAAAAAUCUACAAUUUUUGUAACACCCCAAAACAGACACGUAACAACCAUUUACCCCCUCAAGCCUUAUAUCCCCGGAUAGCCUGGAUCUGAGCGCACAACAUAUAUGAAAAGCACUCAGAUCACACGAACACAGCCAAAACACUACCAGGAUAACGUUUUGACCGCCCGCCCACGAGACACCUGCCCAAAAUAGUUCCAGGAGAAAGGUGGUGGUGGUCGGUCUCUUUUGGCAGUACGAAAACAC